GGGGCUGUAGUUCAGUGGUACGGCACCUGCUUUGCAUGCAGAAGGUUGCUGGUUCAAUCCCUGAUGGCAUCU